CUUUUGCCUUACAAUGACCCAAAGAGUGACAUUACUGUGUAAGCAACACAUGCCCCAUGGUGUCCUAUAGCAGUCACAGUGUUUCCUUUCUGACAGUAAAUUCCAGAGCACUGAGGCACUCAGCACCAAAGUCAAGAGCGAAUCCCUAGGUCAGGGCAGCAGGCAAAACGGCAGGAGGAGGAGGAAGAUAAGCUUAUUUCUUUUGACUGCUUUGCUUAAUCAAUCAGAAAAAAAAAUAUUAAGAUGAGGGUUGCUAAGAAGGAAAAGGCAUUUUGGCCAACUCAGCUGGAUGGCACUCAACACCCCCUCUACUUCUGUGUUCUUGCAGGAAUUCCUAUUGGAGAUGCCCUCUGGACAAUUGAAUAAAUUUCUCUGAUGACACUUCCUGAGUUGCUUAACAGCCCACUCACAUCUCUCUGUCACACUGCUAUACUCAGCAAAGUUUCUGGAAGAAGGCACAGGAGGACACAUCUCUAAGUGAGGGGGUCCUUCACCCUCAGUGUUCCUGAAACCAGCAGAGGCGCACGUCUUGAAGUACAUUCCCCAGUGAGCACUACAGAAACAGCCUGCCUGUUAGCAGAAGCCACUUGACCAAUGAGGCUGACAGCGUCAAACCCAGAUUAAGAGGUACUAACUUUCCUUCUAAGGGAUGUAGCUCCUUUCUUGAGAUCUGUCACUGAGGCAUAUUUUGGCUCAGACUUUAUAGACACCUCCUCUUCACUGACAUUGCUUUCCUCACUGGAGCUAUCACGGAGGUUGUGUUGCACUGGCAGUAUCCCUUGGCACGGAGUCAGUCUGACUCAUCUUCCAUUUCACCUCAGGGUCUGAAAACAGCUGCAGCUGUCAGAGGGUUGCAGUUACUUUGAGGCAUUAUGAUAAAACUACACUUACUAAAAUAUAUUGAUAAAUACAGCCUCAAUGUUAUCAGAAGAAAACUGCAAAGAAACAAACUCCCUUGCAAUGUGUUAAGGUCAAAAUUCC
rnacentral:lncRNA from 1 species